GACAGAGGGGGCAAGCGUUGCUCGGAAUUACUGGGCGUAAAGGGCGCGUAGGCGGGAUGGCAAGUCGGUCGUGAAAUCCCUCGGCUCAACCGAGGAACGUCGAUCGAUACUGCUGUUCUUGAGGAUUGCAGAGGAGACUGGAAUUCCCGGUGUAGCGGUGAAAUGUGUAGAGAUCGGGAGGAACACCGGUGGCGAAGGCGGGUUGCUGGGCUGAUACUGACGCUGAGGCGCGAAAGCCAGGGGAGCGAACGGG
rnacentral:rRNA from 1 species